GGAAUAAUUGCACAGGUAAUGUAUUGUCUGUUUAGUAGUAGAUGUGGGAGUCAUAGUCAAGAGGAGAGUCUGUCCUUAAAUCUGUAUAGACUGAGAUGAGAGGGAUGAGUCACAUAGCUGGAAAGUAGAUGACGGGGUGAUAGGUGAAAAUAUUUUAUCACCGUCCCCUUGUAAAUUAUAUAUUUGACAUAUGCAGAGCCGAUUGACCAGAUGUCCCAUUUAAGGGAGGUUUCUAAAAAAAA